rnacentral:rRNA from 1 species
GGUUAAGCGACUAAGCGUACACGGUGGAUGCCCUGGCAGUCAGAGGCGAUGAAGGACGUGCUAAUCUGCGAAAAGCGUCGGUAAGGUGAUAUGAACCGUUAUAACCGGCGAUGUCCGAAUGGGGAAACCCAGUGUGAUUCGUCACACUAUCGUUAACUGAAUACAUAGGUUAACGAGGCGAACCGGGGGAACUGAAACAUCUAAGUACCCCGAGGAAAAGAAAUCAACCGAGAUUCCCCCAGU